rnacentral:misc_RNA from 1 species
AAGUCGUAACAAGGUUUCCGUAGGUGAACCUGCGGAAGGAUCAUUAACACGUAUCCAACGUUAAACAACCCUGUGAACUUUCAGCGCUCUUGUAGCCCCAGAGGAACAGCAAUCCCGGUAAAUCAAAUGGCGGAAAGAGUUUUGAUUCGGGACCUCUGUCCAAAAGGUAUCAAGUUACAAUCGAGCAGAGCAGUGCAGAAGGAUCCACUGAGUAAGGAUAACGCAUCACGGUUGCCAGAGGUCGAUCACCGGCCGGCAGACAUGUCACAGGGCUUUACGCCCCUUCAUUCACCCCUUGCCUAAUCAAGCCUCGCGGAAACGCCGGGCAUAAAAACCGAACAACUGUUAACAAUGGAUAUCUUGGUUCUC